rnacentral:ncRNA from 2 species
UUAAUAGCAAUUCAUAAAGGUGCUUAUGUCUAAGAACAUGAGUUAAAAGGGAAGCCGGUUCGAUUCCGGCGCGGUCCCGCCACUGUACGUGAGAGGAAUUUGCAAUAUGCCACUGAAGCAACGCUUUGGGAAGGAGCAAAAACCAACGAUCACAAGCCAGGAGACCUGCCUUUAUGUCAACACACUC